CAGUAGCCGCGGUAAUACGAAGGGUGCAAGCGUUACUCGGAAUUACUGGGCGUAAAGCGUGCGUAGGCGGUUUGUUAAGUCUGUUGUGAAAUCCCCGGGCUCAACCUGGGAAUGGCAAUGGAUACUGGCAAGCUAGAGUGUGUCAGAGGAUGGUGGAAUUCCCGGUGUAGCGGUGAAAUGCGUAGAGAUCGGGAGGAACAUCAGUGGCGAAGGCGGCCAUCUGGGACAACACUGACGCUGAGGCACGAAAGCGUGGGGAGCAAACAGGAUUAGAUACCCCCGUAGUCCCUGUCUCUUAUAC
rnacentral:rRNA from 1 species